GGGGCGCGGUGCGGCAGCAGGGCGGUGCGGCUGGCGGAGGUGUGCGUGAGCAGCAAUCACAAGAUGCACGAGGGACGAGGCCAGACGACGAGGUCUCAACGUGCAGAUGUGAGGCUGCCUUCCGGUCACAUGACAGUGCUGCCCAACAUGGCCGCCGGUAGACUUGAUGACGUAGCACACCGAGGCUUGAUGGCGCUGUACGAGUGGCGGGGAGGGAGCGGUGCCAAUCAGCAGGUCACGUGGUGUGUCUGAGGUCCUACAAGUGACACGUGACGGGAGCUAAGCCGUUAUCACCUUGUGCACCAACAGAAAGAUAUCUCAGUUAAUAAACCCAUGAGGAGAACACCUGUCCUUGUCCUCUGAAAGUGCUUCUUGGCUGAGAUCAGUUCUCCACGACACCACUCGGCUUUUUUCACUUGUGUGUGUGUUGGGAAGAUCAGUCGUCCAAGCAGUCGAUGGUGGUUCCCUGCGGGUUUUUGGUGCAAACUUUCUCGAGACAUUCAUCAGCUGCAGGGAAAUAUAAAAUUCUUCAUUCACCUAGUCCUUCAGCUUCAACUGAUUACAAGCUGAAGUUUCAGCAAGUCAGGUGAUACACAAUCGGAGGUGAGUGAAAGUGUGUACGUGGAUACCAGGGUACGUUAGGUCCACUAAUAUCAAACAGUAGACAGGCUGCUGCUGUGGUCUACACUGCUUACCACUAAUAUCAAACAACAGGAGACCACUAAUAUCAAACAGUAGACAGGCUGCUACUGUAGUCUACACUGUGUACUGCUACAUAGUGUGAUCUUGGUGUGCUACAUCACUUAGUGUGCUACUGUGGCAUAAGGAAUGCGAGUAUUUCCCACGUACCUCCCACUGCUGGAAUCCAUCUCUCAGUAAGUUUUGAUUUUGUCCAUCUGAAUGUUUGCAUUAUUUCGAUGAAUAAAAGGAAAACAACAUCUUUCCUAGUGAUCUCUCGACUGCACUGCAUUCUGUGUCGACAAUUUUGUUUCUGGUGUGCAAUCUCUGAAUCAAAUGGGCUACAUACCUACUUCUUCUCAGUGAUGCCUUCUUCGCUUAAUGGAUUACAGUCCGCACCUCACAGGAUGUGCACUGGAUUUAAUGGAUAGCAUGAUGGAUCAGCUGCGUUGUGUGUUUUUAAAGCCCAUGGAUCGCUGUGAAGCACUGGAGAACACUGGUUGCCUGGGGUUUUGUCGGAACAUCGAACUGAACUCGUCUGGUGCACACUGUGCAGUCCAUGGAUUACGAAACAAAUUGGAUGGACUGCACUUCUUUCCACCCUGAUGUGCAGCUGGAAUUGAGUGCUCGAAGGAUUAAAAGAUUACCUCGCGGGUGAGGUCACCCGUGACCAGAACACUGAGUGUUUGAGGUGGACACGGGGAUAUGAUCACCCCUGGGCCCUGGCCUCGUGUAGAUCACACCGAGAGUGCACAGUUCAACUUCCUCUGUGGAUUACACUGCACAGAGCAAAGCCUCCUGAUUCAUGGAUUACACACUGGCAGUGCUACAUCCACUUUUUAUUGGAUUACAUUGGCUUACAGUGAACUAGCGAACGGAGGAUAUUCCAGAAGAUGCAAAGAAAGUGAAGAAAGUUCACAAAUCGAGGCAAUUACACCAGAAACCGUGCCUGCCGUCUCUACAAGGUACAUGCAUCUCUCAACAAGUCCUCGCCAUCAUCGACACGGUGUGAGAGCGAGGUGUCAUGGGUCAUUGCGGAUUAUGCAGCGACUGCUGAUUUCGUCUGCGGAUUUGUAUUGCUAUUAUUAUUACAUUUGUGCUGCACCUGUUCUGUGAUGGAUGCAUGGCAUGAUGUCACGGGAAGAAAUGGCAAGCUUGCUGUCCCUCUUUUUGGGAGGAUUUAAAGAUAUGCCCAGGGGCAGCCAUUCGGCUUGUUUUUUUGAGGGUCUUGUCACUGAUAGGAUCGUGUACCUCACCUGGUCAUCUCAUCCCUGGAACGCCUUACUGAACCCUGAUCCCCGAUCCUUGGUCCUGCUAAGGUGGUCUGAGACGAUCAAGUACAAGAGUUUCCUUUUGUCUCUUUGAGGAUUCUACACGUGUGGUACAACUGUACAAGAAGUGACUUUGGACAGGAGGGAGUGUCGUCGUGCCAGGUUCCUGUCAUCAGCAGGUUCCCCACGACCGACGAGUCACGUGACAGGUUACAGAGAGUUUCCAGGUUCGUCUUCUCUCUUGUGGAAAAGGUUUCGGAUUACCAGUGUAACGGCACACAGACAGCAGGAGACAACGGUCCAGGAAAGAAGAAUGAAGCCAACCGAUGGUGUGAUGAUGGUCAAGCAUGACUUCACCCCACGAAGGAGCAUCACACGCGCGGUGCAGUCACGUGACUGUCAUCUCAGUCUUGAAGGACAGGGUCACAGGGUCAGUCGCCAGCAGGACACA
rnacentral:lncRNA from 1 species